AGCGAACGCUGGCGGCGUGCUUAACACAUGCAAGUCGAGCGAAGGUGUUUCAAGGGUAACCUUGAGAUACACUUAGCGGCGGACGGGUGAGUAAUACGUGGAUAACUUACCUCUAGGCCUGGGAUAACCCCGGGAACGUGGGGCUAAUACCUGAUAAGACCACAUUGUCUACGGACAAAGGGGUAAAGGUGGCUGUGCAAACAGCUAUCGCCAAAAGAUAGGUUCACGUCCCAUCAGGCAGUUGGCGAGGUAAUGGCUCACCAAACCAAAGACGGGUAGCCGGCCUUGGCGGGUGAACGGCCACACGGGGACUGAGAC
rnacentral:rRNA from 1 species